GCGAACGUUGUUCGGAAUCACUGGGCGUAAAGCGCGUGUAGGCGGCCCACUAAGUCUGAUGUGAAAGCCCGGGGCUCACCCCCGGAAGUGCAUUGGAAACUGGUGGACUCGAGUCCCGGAGAGGAGAGUGGAAUUCCUGGUGUAGCGGUGAAAUGCGCAGAUAUCAGGAGGAACACCGGUGGCGAAGGCGGAUCUCUGGGCCAUUACUGACGCUGAGGAGCGAAAGCGUGGGGAGCGAACAGG
rnacentral:rRNA from 1 species